rnacentral:misc_RNA from 1 species
GCUCAGCACCAACUUGCUUAUCAGCAUAUCCACCAGCAACAGCAAGAGCAACUGCAGCAGCAACUCCAGACUUUUUGGACAAAUCAGUACCAAGAAAUUGAGCAGGCAACUGAUUUUAAGAAUCACAGUCUGCCAUUGGCUAGGAUCAAGAAAAUUAUGAAGGCAGAUGAAGAUGUAAGGAUGAUAUCAGCUGAAGCUCCAGUCAUAUUUGCUAGAGCCUGUGAGAUGUUCAUUCUGGAAUUAACUUUGCGGUCUUGGAAUCACACAGGGGAGAACAAAAGGAGGACACUCCAAAAAAA